GCCCAGGGUAGCUCAGUUGCUAGAGCAUGAGACUCUUAACCUCAGGGUCGAGGAUUUGAGCCCCACAUUGGGCA